rnacentral:rRNA from 1 species
CUGAAUAACUCAGCCGAUCGCAUGGGCCUCGUACCGGCGACGUAUCUUUCAAGUGUCUGCCUUAUCAACUUUCGAUGGUAGUUUACACGCCUACCAUGGUUGUAACGGGUAACGGAGAAUAAGGGUUCGACUCCGGAGAGGGAGCCUGAUAAACGGCUACCACAUCCAAGGAAGGCAGCAGGCGCGCAAAUUACCCACUCUCAGAACGAGGAGGUAGUGACGAAAAAUAACGAGACGGUUCUCUAUGAGGUCCGUCAUCGGAAUGGGUACAAUUUAAACCCUUUAACGAGGAUCUAUUGGAGGGCAAGUCUGGUGCCAGCACCGCGGUAAUUCCAGCUCCAAUACCGUAUAUUAAAGUUGUUGCGGAUAAAAAG